ACGUUCGAAACCUAAAAGAGUAGGCGAGAAAUCCCCGGAUGUCCUGCUGCUUCAGCCCAGAUUCUGGAGUGUUCAUCGAUGGAUACUUUUCAAUCCCAGGAGUCCACGGGAGAGCAAUACGUCAUCAUCGAACGUGAUUGAGAACCGCGACGAGGGUGUUUACAAAUGGACAGAUGAGACACACGUGUGUUUAUCCGGUGAAGAGUGACUGAUGAAGGAGUGCUGCCAUCAAAGGCUUUCAAGAUUUUGUGGUGGAGCAGGUGACGGCAGCAUUUGUGGGAAGAAAGGAAGACCUGAAACAAAAAUAUAAAACUGGUGUGAGCAGUGAGAAAGGAGAAAUCCACAGCAGCAUCCUGGAAAUGGUCCGGUGCCAUGGAUGAGACCCUCCAUCACUCCACCUGCCCUUAAUGCCUCAUCUGGGGCAGAUUUUUCUGUGG